GGAGCUGGGGCUCAGUGGGAAAGCAUCUGCUCGGUGCGUAGAAGGUCCCAGGUUCAAGCCCUGGCAUCUCCA
rnacentral:tRNA from 1 species